GUUUGUCGAGUGCAUCUCGCACGCUCCACUCGAGUGAAUAAGUGCCAAGGUUGAAUUUGACUUGUGUAACCGAGCUAUGGAGCAGAGUGGCCGCAGCGGAGGGGCAGAGACCCCGCUCACAAGCUGUGACACACACAGCUGGAAAGAGAUCGAGAAUGAUGUCGUCACUAGCCCUAGAAUUUCCAAGUUCCCGAAUCAGCCGUUGGGCAAUAGCUUCAGAUACAUUUUGUAUCCGGGGAGCCUAGGAAAGCACUUUCCGUUUGUAUCGCCGCUCUUCCACGCUGACCAUUUAUCCAAAAUCCCAGGCGUUCAGUGAUCUGGUGGAAGUACUUACGUUAUGGAUAAAUUUGAUUUUUACUGUGCACUUGGAGAAAACAAUUAGUUAAGAACUCAAACAAAAUUAAGCUUUAAAGCAACGAUUUCAAUUUUUUCGUUGCCUAAUAGGUACAACUAAAAACUGUAUAUUAUAACUUGUUCCUAAUAAUAUUCCGUUAAUAAUAAAAAACUAAAAAAGCAGGCAUGCGUGUAUAAGCUUUAAACUAACCAAUUUAC
ensembl:ncRNA lncRNA:CR44868 long non-coding RNA:CR44868